CUACUGACUUGGACCAGCAGGGGAAUGGCUGUGACAAUAAAUAAGAUUGGGAAAACAAGAAGAUUGGUCAGUCCUUUCCAGGACACUGAAGGCUGCAGAGGUGUGACUGGAUGCUGGUGGAGGGAUGCAUGGCGGGGAAGCUGAGUCAGAUCCUGAAAUCCUCCAAGCAUGCGCCUGAAAUGACCAAGGGAAAUGAAGGCGGAGGCUGCUGUCGCCUGGUGGCCUGGGAAGGGCCAAGAGCCAGGGAGCUGGAGGGAGGAGAGAACGUGCGACCUCAGCACGGAGCACUGUAGGGGAGGCGGGGCUGGAGGGAGAUGGCGCCGCGCUCCCGGAUGAACAGAGAAAGCGACAGGAUAAGGGCCUCGCUCUGUUACCCAGGCUGGAGUGCUGUGGUGUGUUUGUGACUCACCGUAGCCUUGAACUCCUGGGCUCAAGCAAUCCUCCCACCUAAGCCUCUGGAGUAGCUGGGACUACAGUUCUCCUUCACCUUCCUCCAUGAGUAGAGGCAGCCUGAGGCCCUCACCAGAUGCAGAUGCCCAACCUUGAACUUUCCAACCAUUCAGAGUCAUUAGCCAAAUAAACCUUUUAUCUUUAUAAAUUACUCAGCCUCAGGUAUUCCUUUAUAGCAACACAAAACAGACUAAGACAGGAACCUACACUCCUUAGAAGAAGGCCAUAUGAUAUAAGGGUGUUGAGUCUAAGAUUUUAGUGUCUACACUUCGUCUUACAUUUUCCAUUCUUUCCAUUUUCACAAGUCCUAUGAUACAGUUGAAAAUCUUUCCUACGCACUAGUAAAGCCAUAGGAACUUAAAAUUAUUAAGUGUCAAGCACAUAUGAAAAUCAGACAAUGUGCAAAGAAAAACGGGCUAUGUGUUGCAUGAGAACGAGGAACUAAUGUUCAGUUUAGGGAUAUGAACUGUUCAGAAACUUGGUCUGAUCAAAGUUAUGUCAGCCUUAAUAGUAAUCUGACUGAUAAACAACUAAUACUUGAAAGACGGUACUGAUAUGGACUAUUUCACCUGGAGAUUGUUUACUUGAUAACUUUUUUUUCAAGUUCUGCAAGGUGAUUUAACAUCCAAAAAUAUAUAGUCAAUCCUGGGUAUUCAUGGAGGACUGGGACCAGGACCCCUCAAAUAUAUCAAAAUCCACAGAUGCUCAAAUCCCUGAUAUAAAAUGGCAUAGUAUUGACACAUAACCUUUGCACAGCCUCCC
rnacentral:lncRNA from 1 species